rnacentral:lncRNA from 1 species
CCGUGACAAACUUCAAUGCACCAUGGAAAGUAGAAUUGUCAUAGGGUGCUUGCUAUUUAGUAGACAAUAGCAACGCUGCAGCACCGAGAAAAAUGAAGGCAGUCGUGUGCAUCACUCCAAAUGCAAUUCAAAGUUAAACAUUUGUAAUAACUAAUUGCCUUUCACGGAAUCAGAGAAAUCAAUUUAAAAGGUGAAUGAAUUCAACCCUUCUGUAUGCACCACUGCACCGGCCCCACAAGCAAUCAAACACUGCACCCAAUGCCUCUGUCGUUCUGUAACUUAGCUAUACUAGUAGCUCCAAGCCGUCCCAUCAAAUUCUCUUUCUUGUAAGAUAAAUGAAGACCAAAACUUGUAAAUGGCAUUGAUGAACCGAGGAGCACACAUAAUAACCAUCAACAAAUUACUUCCUCCAAAUAAAUCAAUAAAAAGUCUUCUCUCAACACCACCAUCCUACAAGCAUAACUACAACCACCUAUACUGUCACAUCACAUGCCCUUCCUACAAACAAUUAAGCACCUCCUCCAAAUAAAUAAAUUAGCCUUCCAAAAUCCAUAUGCCUCCCUCGUGAAUGCACCAGCAAGCCACGUCCUACUCAAAUACCGUGACAAGUUUUUAAUGGUUUGAUUAAGCUACCCUUGCAGCAAGCCGUGCGUUUCAGAGAAAUCAAAUGGAACGACACUUCCCAGGACAUGACACUGCAUCAACUUGAUUCACCACUUCAUUCUCAAAUAAACGUUGCCAAGCAAAUAAAAAUCAAAGGUACAUUUCAUCAAAUGCUUUCUAAGAAAGCUCUGGGAAGCCAGCGUUGCUUUUCCAGGAAAAAGAAAAAUUAAUCCGAACUUUGCCCAAUCAAAUUCAUCAGCACAGCAUACUACUAACUCUCAAACUCUCCUUCCAGACUCUAUUUCAUUAAUGAACAGCUCAAAAGGGAAGAAAAUAGAUGUUGCAGUGUUUCACACAAAAUGGAGAGAAAAAAUAGGAAAUUUGAUUCAUUCAUUCACAAGCAUUAGAACCCCGAGAACAACAUCCCAUUUUUCCCAGCUCAUCGAAAUGUUCCAAAUCAAAAAGACCUCCAGAGUGCUCCUCUCUCCCUAAGAGAACGAAAAAAAACAAAAAGAGUAGAAUGAAUGUGUCCCCUUCCAGUGACGGCUGCUGCAAUCCCAAGACCUAAGACCAAGUGUCCAAAAAAAAAGAUAGGGUGGGAUCCACCCUAAACCCUAGGGACAAGUCAUCUUUUUUUUCUAUUGGGCUUUUGCCUAUUCUACAAAAUUAGCCC